GAUGAACGCUGGCGGCGUGCCUAAUACAUGCAAGUCGAGCGAACAGAUGAGGAGCUUGCUCCUCUGACGUUAGCGGCGGACGGGUGAGUAACACGUGGAUAACCUACCUAUAAGACUGGGAUAACUUCGGGAAACCGGAGCUAAUACCGGAUAAUAUAUUGAACCGCAUGGUUCAAUAGUGAAAGACGGUUUUGCUGUCACUUAUAGAUGGAUCCGCGCCGCAUUAGCUAGUUGGUAAGGUAACGGCUUACCAAGGCAACGAUGCGUAGCCGACCUGAGAGGGUGAUCGGCCACACUGGAACUGAGACACGGUCCAGACUCCUACGGGAGGCAGCAGUAGGGAAUCUUCCGCAAGGGGCGAAAGCCUGACGGAGCAACGCAGCGUGAGUGAUGAAGGUCUUCGAAUCGUAAAACUCUGUUAUUAGGGAAGAACAAAUGUGUAAGUAACUAUGCACGUCUUGACGGUACCUAAUCAGAAAGCCACGGCUAACUACG
rnacentral:rRNA from 1 species